GGUCCAUCCUUUUCUUGGAUAUUGCAGAAUGCUUACGAAAUUGAAUUUGAGUGGUUGUUGCAAACUUAAGAAGCUUUCAGAAUUGGUGGUUUCUCUCAUCUUUAUUUUUGAGCCACAAAAUAGAAUUGCAUAUUUCAUAGAAACAUUAUGGUUUAUAUUUUGUAUUUUUAUGGAUACAGAGAUUGAGCAAUUUGAAGCAUUUGGGUCUAAGCGGGUGUGGUGGGUUAACAGAAACCCCUAAUUUUUGUGAUAUGCCAAACUUGGAGACACUAAUUUUAUGGAAGUAGAUUGAGCAAUUUGAAGCGUUUAGAUUUAAGCUGGUGCAGUGGGUUAACAGAAACCCCUAAUUUUGGUGAUAUGCCAAAUUUGAAGACACUAAUUUUAUGGAAGUGUGAGAAUUUGGAAGAGCCCCAGACCCCACGAUGUGGGAUUUCACUGGGUUGUUGUUGUGAGAAUUUGGAAGAGGUCCAUCCUACUCUUGGACAUUACAGAAUGCUUACGAAAUUGAAUUUUAGUGGUUGUUACAAACUUAAGAAGCUUCCAGAAUUGAGAUUGAGCAAUUUGAAGCGUUUGGAUCUAAGUCGGUGCAGUGGGUUAACAGAAACCCCUAAUGUUGGUGAUAUGCCAAACUUGGAGACACUAAUUUUAUAGUGGUGUGAGAAUUUGGAAGAGGUCCAUCCUUCUCUUGGACAUUGCAGAAUGCUUACGAAAUUGAAUUUGAGUGGUUGUUACAAACUUAAGAAGCUUCCAGAAUUGGUGGAUUUCUCUCAUCUUUGUUUUUUACCCACAAAAUAGAAUUGUAUAUUUCAUAAAAACAUUAUGUUUCAUAUUUUGUAUUUUUAUGGAAACAAAGAUUGAGCAAUUUGAAGCGUUUGGAUCUAAGCUGGUGCAGUGGGUUAACAGAAACCCCUAAUUUUGGUGAUAUGCCAAACUUGGAUUUUAGAGGGGUGUGAGAAUUUGGAAGAGGUCCAUCCUUCUCUUGGACAGUGUAGAAUGUUUCCGCAAUUGCAUUUGAGUGAUUGUUGGAAACUUAAGAAGCCUCCAGAAUUGGUGGGUUUCUCUCAUCUUUAUUUUUUACCCACAAAAUAGAAUCGCAUAUUUCAUAAAAAAAAUUAUGUUUCAUAUUUUGUAUUUUUAUGGAAACAGAGAUUGAGCAAUUUGAAGAUUUUGGAUCUAAGCUGGUGCAGUGGGUUAACAGAAACCCCUAAUUUUGGUGAUAUGCCAAACUUGGAGACACUAAUUUUAGAAGGGUGUGAGAAUUUGGAAGAGGUCCGUCCUUCUCUUGGACAUUGUAGAAUGCUUACAGAAUUGAAACUGAGUGGUUGUUGCAAACUUAGGAAGCCUCCAGAAUUGGUGGGUUUCUCUCAUCUUUAUUUUUUACCCAACAAAUAGAAUCGCAUAUUUCAUAAAAACAUUAUGUUUCAUAUUUUGUAUUUUUAUGGAAACAAAGAUUGAGCAAUUUGAAGCAUUUGUAUCUAAGGGGGUGCGGUGAGUUAACAGAAACCCCCUAAUUUUGGUGAUAUGCCAAACUUGGAGACACUAAUUUUAGAGAGGUAUGAGAAUUUGGAAGAGGUCUUUCCUUCUCUUGGACAUUGCAAAAUGCUUACUUAUGUGAAUUUGUGUGAUUGUCGCAAACUUAAG